GGAAAACUAUCUGGGUGUUCAAUUGGGCAGAAUCGCAAUCUCUUCUAGGGUUUCAAGAUUCCUUAUUAACACUUAUUUCUAUUCUCUAUUUGAUUCUUUACUGUUUUGGGGAUUUUAUUUCAGAUCUGAAAAUUCAAAAAUCUAAUCUUUUAAUUUUCUGUUUCGUUUCAAAUCUAAUUGUUUAGGGUUUUCGUAGGAGUUUCUCGUGACUUGGCAACUCGAUCUUGGUCCGCGC
rnacentral:lncRNA from 1 species